rnacentral:rRNA from 1 species
UACGAAGGGGGCUAGCGUUGCUCGGAAUCACUGGGCGUAAAGCGCACGUAGGUGGCGACGUAAGUCGGGUGUGAAAGCCCCGGGCUCAACCUGGGAAUUGCAUUCGAGACUGCAUUGCUGGAGUACGGAAGAGGAAGGCGGAAUUCCCGGUGUAGCGGUGAAAUGCGUAGAUAUCGGGAGGAACAUCAGUGGCGAAGGCGGCCUUCUGGUCCAGUACUGACACUCAAGUGCGAAAGCGUGGGGAGCAAACAGG